rnacentral:rRNA from 1 species
UACGUAGGGUGCGAGCGUUAAUCGGAAUUACUGGGCGUAAAGCGUGCGCAGGCGGUUCGUUAUGUCCGUUGUGAAAGCCCCGGGCUCAACCUGGGAAUGGCAAUGGAAACUGGCGGGCUCGAGUGUGGCAGAGGGGGGUGGAAUUCCGCGUGUAGCAGUGAAAUGCGUAGAGAUCCGGAGGAACACCAGAGGCGAAGGCGGCCUACUGGGUCAGUACUGACGCUGAGCCGCGAAAGCCAGGGGAGCGAACGGG